GCACAUCUGGGUAAAUUCUAAGUGAGGGCCAUGACUGUGUAGACAUGUCAUCCCCUCACGUUGACAGCAUUAGUGACUUAUAAAACCUGCACUAUGUAAGUAAAUAGCUCGGGUAUCGGGAUUGGGAAACACUUCUUGAUUAGUUUGAAAAGGCCCACUUACAUAUUAAAUCAUAAGAUCAUUUCUAAUCAGUUUGCAAUUCUAGCAAUAAUCCCAAUCAUGACCUUGCG